rnacentral:rRNA from 2 species
GAACCUUAGCUUGCUAAGGGGAUUAGUGGCGAACGGGUGAGUAAUAUAUCGGAACGUGCCUUGUAAUGGGGGAUAACUAGUCGAAAGAUUAGCUAAUACCGCAUACGCCCUGAGGGGGAAAGUAGGGGAUCUUCGGACCUUACGUUAUAAGAGCGGCCGAUAUCUGAUUAGCUAGUUGGUGGGGUAAUGGCNNACCAAGGCGACGAUCAGUAGCUGGUCUGAGAGGACGACCAGCCACACUGGAACUGAGACACGGUCCAGACUCCUACGGGAGGCAGCAGUGGGGAAUUUUGGACAAUGGGCGCAAGCCUGAUCCAGCCAUUCCGCGUGAGUGAAGAAGGCCUUCGGGUUGUAAAGCUCUUUCGCAAGGGAAGAAAACUUACAUUCUAAUAAAGUGUGAGGCUGACGGUACCUUGAUAAGAAGCACCGGCUAACUACGUGCCAGCAGCCGCGGUAAUACGUAGGGUGCGAGCGUUAAUCGGAAUUACUGGGCGUAAAGCGUGCGCAGGCGGUUUGGCAAGUCAGAUGUGAAAUCCCCGAGCUCAACUUGGGAACUGCGUUUGAAACUGCCAGACUAGAAUAUGUCAGAGGGGGGUAGAAUUCCACGUGUAGCAGUGAAAUGCGUAGAGAUGUGGAGGAAUACCAAUGGCGAAGGCAGCCCCCUGGGAUAAUAUUGACGCUCAUGCACGAAAGCGUGGGGAGCAAACAGGAUAGAUACCCUGGUAGUCCCGCCCUAACGAGUCUACUAGUUGU